AGUGAACGCUGGCGGUAGGCCUAACACAUGCAAGUCGAACGGCAGCACAGUAAGAGCUUGCUCUUACGGGUGGCGAGUGGCGGACGGGUGAGGAAUACAUCGGAAUCUACUUUUUCGUGGGUGAUAACGUAGGGAAACUUACGCUAAUACCGCAUACGACCUACGGGUGAAAGCAGGGGAUCUUCGGACCUUGCGCGAUUGAAUGAGCCGAUGUCGGAUUAGCUAGUUGGCGGGGUAAAGGCCCACCAAGGCGACGAUCCGUAGCUGGUCUGAGAGGAUGAUCAGCCACACUGGAACUGAGACACGGUCCAGACUCCUACGGGAGGCAGCAGUGGGGAAUAUUGGACAAUGGGCGCAAGCCUGAUCCAGCCAUACCGCGUGGGUGAAGAAGGCCUUCGGGUUGUAAAGCCCUUUUGUUGGGAAAGAAAAGCAGCAGGUUAAUACCCCGCUGCUCUGACGGUACCCAAAGAAUAAGCACCGGCUAACUUCGUG
rnacentral:rRNA from 1 species